rnacentral:lncRNA from 1 species
AAGAGGGCCAUUCUCAUCUAAACACCCAUCGGAGCCCAGAGAAAACAGAAGAAAAGUUGCAACAGAGUGAAAAAUCAGGAAAACCUCAUCGAGAUAGAUAUUCUGCCAGAGACAAAACGAAACCUCAUCGAGAUAGAUAUUCUGCCAGAGAAAAAUGAGACAUCAGAUAUGUGUGAUCACAGGUCAUAGACUCAGUGAAGUGCCACUGUCACAAUGCUCUCAUGCCAAACCUUGACUGCAAAGCUGAGAUGUUAAUAUGGAACACCUGAGAGGGCUGGCACUUCAGCGUCCUUAUUCCUCCAGAACCACACCACAAAAGUCACCUUCUCCCCAGACAGAUUCUCUACAAAAUGCCUUGCAGCCGAGGUGUGG